rnacentral:rRNA from 1 species
AGAGUUUGAUCAUGGCUCAGAAUGAACGCUGGCGGCGUGACCUAACACAUGCAAGUCGAGCGAGAAAGUUCCUUCGGGAAUGAGUAAAGCGGCGGACGGUUGAGUAACACGUGAGAAUCUACCCUUUAGUGAAAAAUACCUUCGAGAAAUCGAAAUUAAUACUGCAUAAGUCCCUUCGGGGAGAAAAGUGGCCUCUUUGCUACUGCUAAAGGAUGAGCUUGCGGACUAUCAGCUAGUUGGUGAGGUAAAGGCUCACCAAGGCUAUGACGGUUAGCCGGCCUGAGAGGGUGAACGGCCAGACUGGAACUUAGACACGGUCCAGACCCCUACGGGAGGCAGCAGUGAGGAAUAUUGCGCAAUGGGCGAAAGCCUGACGCAGCGACGCCGCGUGGAGGAUGAAGGUUUUCGGAUCGUAAACUCCUGUUAAGUGGGAAGAAAAGUCUGUGGUUAAUACCCGCAGAAAAUGACGGUACCAUUAUAGAAAGCACCGGCUAACUACGUG